rnacentral:rRNA from 1 species
UACGAAGGGGCUAGCGUUGCUCGGAAUCACUGGGCGUAAAGGGUGCGUAGGCGGGUCUUUAAGUCAGGGGUGAAAUCCUGGAGCUCAACUCCAGAACUGCCUUGAUACUGAAGAUCUUGAGUUCGGGAGAGGUGAGGUGGAACUGCGAGUGUAGAGGUGAAAUUCGUAGAUAUUCGCAAGAACACCAGUGGCGAAGGCGGACUCGACUG